rnacentral:rRNA from 1 species
UCUGGUUGAUCCUGCCAGAGGUUACUGCUAUUGGUGUUCGACUAAGCCAUGCAAGUCAUAUGUUCCUCGUGAACAUGGCAUACUGCUCAGUAACACGUGGAUAACCUGCCCUUGGGUCUGGGAUAACCCCGGGAAACUGGGGAUAAUACCGGAUAACGCAUAUGUGCUGGAAUGCUUUAUGCGUAAAACGGAUUCGUCCGCCCAAGGAUGGGUCUGCGGCCUAUCAGGUAGUAGUGGGUGUAAUGUACCUACUAGCCAACAACGGGUACGGGUUGUGAGAGCAAGAGCCCGGAGAUGGAUUCUGAGACAUGAAUCCAGGCCCUACGGGGCGCAGCAGGCGCGAAAACUUUACAAUGCGGGAAACCGUGAUAAGGGAACACCGAGUGCCAGCAUCAUAUGCUGGCUGUCCAGAUGUGUAAACUACAUCUGUUAGCAAGGGCCGGGCAAGACCGGUGCCAGCCGCCGCGGUAACACCGGCGGCCCGAGUGGUGACCGUUAUUAUUGGGUCUAAAGGGUCCGUAGCCGGUUUGGUCAGUCCUCCGGGAAAUCUGAUAGCUUAACUGUUAGGCUUUCGGGGGAUACUGCCAGGCUUGGAACCGGGAGAGGUAAGAGGUACUACAGGGGUAGGAGUGAAAUCUUGUAAUCCCUGUGAGACCACCUGUGGCGAAGGCGUCUUACCAGAACGGGUUCGACGGUGAGGGACGAAAGCUGGGGGCACGAACCGGAUUAGAUACCCGGGUAGUCCCAGCCGUAAACUAUGCUCGCUAGGUGUCAGGCAUGGCGCGACCGUGUCUGGUGCCGCAGGGAAGCCGUGAAGCGAGCCACCUGGGAAGUACGGCCGCAAGGCUGAAACUUAAAGGAAUUGGCGGGGGAGCACAACAACGGGUGGAGCCUGCGGUUUAAUUGGACUCAACGCCGGACAACUCACCGGGAACGACAGCAAUAUGUAGGCCAGGCUGAAGACCUUGCCUGAAUCGCUGAGAGGAGGUGCAUGGCCGUCGCCAGUUCGUACUGUGAAGCAUCCUGUUAAGUCAGGCAACGAGCGAGACCC